rnacentral:rRNA from 1 species
AUUGAACGCUGGCGGCAGGCUUAACACAUGCAAGUCGAGCGGGGUGAUGGUGCUUGCACUAUCACUUAGCGGCGGACGGGUGAGUAAUGCUUAGGAAUCUGCCUAUUAGUGGGGGACAACAUCUCGAAAGGGAUGCUAAUACCGCAUACGUCCUACGGGAGAAAGCAGGGGAUCACUUGUGACCUUGCGCUAAUAGAUGAGCCUAAGUCGGAUUAGCUAGUUGGUGGGGUAAAGGCCUACCAAGGCGACGAUCUGUAGCGGGUCUGAGAGGAUGAUCCGCCACACUGGGACUGAGACACGGCCCAGACUCCUGCGGGAGGCAGCAGUGGGGAAUAUUGGACAAUGGGGGGAACCCUGAUCCAGCCAUGCCGCGUGUGUGAAGAAGGCCUUAUGGUUGUAAAGCACUUUAAGCGAGGAGGAGGCUCUUUUGGUUAAUACCCAAGAUGAGUGGACGUUACUCGCAGAAUAAGUACCGGCUAACUCUGUGCCAGCCGCCGCAGUAA